ensembl:lncRNA
UUUUGCAGGAGGGCUUGAAGUUAUACUCACUGAUCCUUUGCAGGGUCUCUGAUUUUCUGGGGGGCAAGUUUCAUGUCCAGGAUCAGAAAGCCACUCAUACUGACUAUCCUCUACAGCAAACUCAUGUCAAGGUUGUCACAGACAUGCCGGAGCUCAAAGUCAAUAGGCAUGAGUGAGCCUGUUCAGCUGGGAUGCUUCAGACCAAGAGGACGGACUGCCAGAUCCAGUGGGCAGACAACUCUUCUCAGCUCCCUUGCAGGUCUGUGAGCUCUGUGACUAUGUCACAAUGGAACGUGAGUAGAUUGUGUAUCAUCAUCAGACAUGAUUACCCAGUCUCUCUCUUGCCCCGCUUUGAGGACCAAAGAGCUGGCUUCAUGUUCCAGAUGAUGAAUGUACAAGAAGAUGGAGCCAUCAUCAUUCUGGAUCUUUGAGGACCACAUGGAAGACAGUUGCCCUGAAGAGUCUCUCAGGCCCCUUUUACUUUGUGUGGGAAACUGUAUCUCCAGCUUGGCUGCCACAUUCUCAACAAAGUGGACAGAGUCUAUGAUGGGACUGUCAAAGGAGUAAAGUCUUAGAUCAGAGGAGCUGCCAUGGAAAAGGCCCAGCUGACACAGGCUGACACAGGCCCCCUGGUAUCCCUGCCCAGGGGUGAUAGAUGGGAUCGGGUAAGAGACUUGGGGAGGAUGUGAGUAAUGUAUAACUUGUUUGUAAAUUUCAGUGAAAUUGAAAACAUUUUUCAUGUAAAUAGAGAUAUUUUAGGUACAGAUACAAACAUAUGCCCUUUGUCUUGAUGCACAGCCCACCAUUUCUUGCUUCCUAAUGGCCUCCAUCUCCUCUCUGUCAGUCUUAUCUAUCAGUCUUGUCAGGCCCAGAACAAAUGCUACCUC